ensembl:snoRNA small nucleolar RNA U2-30
AAUCAAUGAUGAAAAGGUUUUAAUACAGACCUUUAUAACUACAAGGGUUUCUACACUUUCUCUGAGCUCA